rnacentral:rRNA from 1 species
UACGGAGGAUGCAAGCGUUGUCCGGAUUUACUGGGCGUAAAGGGAGCGUAGGCGGACUUUUAAGUGAGAUGUGAAAUACCCGGGCUCAACUUGGGUGCUGCAUUUCAAACUGGAAGUCUAGAGUGCAGGAGAGGAGAAUGGAAUUCCUAGUGUAGCGGUGGAAUGCGUAGAUAUUAGGAGGAACACCAGUUGCGAAGGCGGCUCUCUGGACUGUAACUGACACUGAGGCACGAAAGCGUGGGGAGCAAACAGGAUUAGAUA